AGGAUUUUAGCUUAGUGGUAGAGUGCUCACCUUGCAUGUGGAAGGCACUGGGUUCAAUCCUCAGAAAUACAU
rnacentral:tRNA from 1 species